GCAGGAAGUCACACUCUUCCUCUUCCUCCUCCUCUCUUCUCUUCUCUUCUCUGUGGAGCUGCCAUGUGAUUCCGGAAAAAGGGCGCAUUCUACCAGCAUCAUCGACAAGAGAAAAUGAAAAGCUGUGGAUUCCUUCCAGACUAAUAUGGUUUGAUCAAGCAAGACCCCCUGAAGCAGUGGCCCAACUGAUCCUACAUCCAACAGCUGAAAUGAUGCAGUCAUAAAUGACUACAGCCAGAUUUCUGUGUUUUAUCAUGAUCCUCAUGGUAUGAACAUUGCCCCCAACUGGCAGGAAGCAGUUUGGAAUGACCGACGCCCAAAUUCCCAAAUAUUGUUU
rnacentral:lncRNA from 1 species